ensembl:misc_RNA Metazoa_SRP Metazoan signal recognition particle RNA
AAGAGACGUUUAAGACAGCUGGUCAUUAUGCCGACCGGGUGUCCGUGCUAAGUUCGGUAUCAAUAUGGUGACCUCCUGGGACCAGGAGGCCAUCAGGUUGCCUAAGGACGGGAGAACUGGCCUAGGUCAGAAAGGGAGCAGGUCAGGACUCCGGCACCAAUCGGUAGUGGGACUGUGCCUGGGCAGUAUAGCAAGAUCUUGGUUCUU